rnacentral:rRNA from 1 species
UACGUAGGGGGCAAGCGUUGUUCGGAUUUAUUGGGCGUAAAGAGCGCGUAGGCGGCCAGGUAGGUCCGCUGUGAAAACUCGAGGCUCAACCUCGAGAUGUCGGCGGAAACCAUCUGGCUAGAGUCCGGAAGAGGAGAGUGGAAUUCCUGGUGUAGCGGUGAAAUGCGCAGAUAUCAGGAAGAACACCCGUGGCGAAGGCGGCUCUCUGGGACGGUACUGACGCUGAGGCGCGAAAGCUAGGGGAGCAAACAGG